rnacentral:rRNA from 1 species
AGUGAACGCUGGCGGUAGACCUAACACAUGCAAGUCGAACGGCAGCACAGUAAGAGCUUGCUCUUACGGGUGGCGAGUGGCGGACGGGUGAGGAAUACAUCGGAAUCUACUUUUUCGUGGGGGAUAACGUAGGGAAACUUACGCUAAUACCGCAUAAGACCUACGGGUGAAAGCAGGGGAUCUUCGGACCUUGCGCGAUUGAAUGAGCCGAUGUCGGAUUAGCUAGUUGGCGGGGUAAAGGCCCACCAAGGCGACGAUCCGUAGCUGGUCUGAGAGGAUGAUCAGCCAAACUGGAACUGAGACACGGUCCAGACUCCUACGGGAGGCAGCAGUGGGGAAUAUUGGACAAUGGGCGCAAGCCUGAUCCAGCCAUACCGCGUGGGUGAAGAAGGCCUUCGGGUUGUAAAGCCUUUUUGUUGGGAAAGAAAAGCAGCAGGUUAAUACCCCGCUGUUCUGACGGUACCCAAAGAAUAAGCACCGGCUAACUUCGUG